rnacentral:lncRNA from 1 species
UGUAAGGGGGUGAACCAACACAGACCUUUCUCUCAGGGUCUCAGAACCAAGCCCCGUGCCUACUCUGUCCAACCUCCCUCCCCUAUCUUCAAGCCCUCCUUCUGCACCUCCUCCUUCUCUGGGCCCUUCUCUUCCUUACCCCCUCACCUCCGUUAGACGCUAUAAAAGCUUGGUUCUCUUUCCUUUUUUCCCUCUGCCCACCAGAACUGCGCACAAUACUGGAGACACAGUAAGAAACACAAAUGGACACGGUCCCCGAGGGCACUCGGAGUCAGGGAGGAGGAGCAGACAGGAAUUCGGGAAUCACAAACACAAGAAGCUCAGAGGUCACUCCUCCACGCAACUGGACCUAUUCUCUGCUCUCAUGACCCUGCAAACAGGAAGACCGGGACGAGGUGAAGUCACCUCUGAGCCAGCCUACCAUCUCCUGUUUCCUCCCCAGCCUGCCAUCUCCUAGAAGUCACAGCAAGAAUGCAAACCUGCAGGAAAGGACCAGGCUUGCUUGCAUCGUCUCCAUUCACCCCCACCCCCCCCCACCCCUGCCACCCAGCAGAGCAUUUCUGCAGACACUGCUUCCAUGUCAUCCGUUUCAUGAGCAGAAUUUCCACCUCAACAUUUGAGCUUGUCCUUCACUCCCCAGCCUGAUGAUGAAAAUGACACUGGGACAUGGAGCAACAAUACUCAUAACAGCUGCUACACGAUACCCAAGCAGGUGACACACUUUGCUCCUGCAGCGGGAUUAGAACCUGGAUUGAACUUGGUGCUUUUCCUUGAUGCCUCUCCUUAUAUAAGACUUUCCAUCAAUCAGAGGCCUCUUCCUUGCCUCCAGGAAGAUUAUGGUAACUUUCUGAUAUCCAAAGGCAGCUGCCAAGCCAAGGCCUAUAGAACAAUCUCGCCCCUUUGAGGGAGGUCACAUAACCCAGGAUAAGCAGCCCCAGCAACACCUGGAAAGAGCCUUCCAAGAACAGCUGCCCCAGGACCGUCGGUGGUCCAGAAGGACUCCUACUGCCCCGAUGGAAUCCCUUCUUCAAAGGAGAUUUACAGACCCCUUAAAAGAUGGACAGCAGUGAGGAAGAGAAGUGGUAAUGCUGUGGAGAGAACAGUGGCAAACCCCCCUCCCCCAUCAAACAUGAAUUAAAAUAUUUAACCCUCACAAAAAGAUCACAUGAAAGGUGAAUAUUAUCGUGUCUGAUUCACAGAGAAUGAAAACAGAGAAGUAAAAGGUCUCAGAGUCCCCGUGGUUGGUGAGCUGGGAUUCAAACCUGCUUCAUCUACUUCUAAUUCCAGGUCCUCUCUUGUUCCCAGCUUCUUUCACAUACAAGAAAGGUCAUGCUUGGCCUUGUGCAGAAGGACACACGCUUGCCCUCAGGUAACUUCCAAGUGACUCAGGAAAGCAAAAAAAAAUUAUUUAAGCAGAAGUGGAAUAUCAUAACAGGCAAGGAACAGAACACUCUAGAUGAGGGAAGAAAGCCUGUCAACUAAGUCUCCUGGAAAGCAGAUGCCAAGGGGGUGUCAGGUGAGCAAAAGGCUUACUGGGGAGUAAUACCUGAGUAGGGGCUCAAUAGUGUCCUCCCCCCAAAAAAUAUGUUCAAGUCCAAUCCCCCAGAACCUGUGCAUGUGACUUAUUUGGGAAACAGUCUUUGCAGAUGUAAUCAAGGUAAGAUGAGGUCACACUGGACUAGGGGGCCCUACAUCCAAAGUCAGGCUUCCCUAGUGGCUCAAACGGUAAAGAAUUCACCUGCAAUGCAAGAGACCUGGAUUCAAUCCCUGGGUCGGGAAGAUCCUCUGGAGAAGAAAAU